UACGUAGGGUGCAAGCGUUGUCCGGAAUUAUUGGGCGUAAAGAGCUCGUAGGCGGUCUGUCGCGUCGGCUGUGAAAACCCGAGGCUCAACCUCGGGCCUGCAGUCGAUACGGGCAGACUAGAGUGUGGUAGGGGAGACUGGAAUUCCUGGUGUAGCGGUGAAAUGCGCAGAUAUCAGGAGGAACACCGGCGGCGAAGGCGGGUCUCUGGGCCAUAACUGACGCUGGAGGAGCGAAAAGCGUGGGGAGCGAACAGG
rnacentral:rRNA from 1 species